rnacentral:rRNA from 1 species
AUUGAACGCUGGCGGCAUGCCUUACACAUGCAAGUCGAACGGCAGCACGGGUGCUUGCACCUGGUGGCGAGUGGCGAACGGGUGAGUAAUACAUCGGAACAUGUCCUGUAGUGGGGGAUAGCCCGGCGAAAGCCGGAUUAAUACCGCAUACGAUCUACGGAUGAAAGCGGGGGACCUUCGGGCCUCGCGCUAUAGGGUUGGCCGAUGGCUGAUUAGCUAGUUGGUGGGGUAAAGGCCUACCAAGGCGACGAUCAGUAGCUGGUCUGAGAGGACGACCAGCCACACUGGGACUAAGACACGGCCCAGACUCCUACGGGAGGCAGCAGUGGGGAAUUUUGGACAAUGGGCGAAAGCCUGAUCCAGCAAUGCCGCGUGUGUGAAGAAGGCCUUCGGGUUGUAAAGCACUUUUGUCCGGAAAGAAAUACUUGGCCCUAAUACGGUCGGGGGAUGACGGUACCGGAAGAAUAAGCACCGGCUAACUACGUG